rnacentral:sRNA from 12 species
AGUCCACUAUGAUAAAUAGUUAAGCCCAUACGGACAGGCGGGACUGCUGCCGG